CAGCAGCCGCGGUAAUACGUAGGGUGCAAGCGUUAAUCGGAAUUACUGGGCGUAAAGCGUGCGCAGGCGGUUAUAUAAGACAGAUGUGAAAUCCCCGGGCUCAACCUGGGAACUGCAUUGUGACUGUAUAGCUAGAGUACGGCAGAGGGGGAUGGAAUUCCGCGUGUAGCAGUGAAAUGCGUAGAUAUGCGGAGGAACACCGAUGGCGAAGGCAAUCCCCUGGGCCUGUACUGACGCUCAUGCACGAAAGCGUGGGGAGCAAACAGGAUUAGAUACCCCCGUAGUCCCUGUCUCUUAUACA
rnacentral:rRNA from 1 species